rnacentral:rRNA from 1 species
GUUUGAUCAUGGCUCAGGACGAACGCUGGCGGCGUGCCUAAUACAUGCAAGUCGUACGCAACUCUUCUAAUCGAACAUUCCUUCGGGAAUGCGUUCAACCUGAAGGUUGAGUGGCGAACGGGUGAGUAACACGUGGGUAACCUGCCCUUUAGUGGGGGAUAACAGUCGGAAACGACUGCUAAUACCGCAUACGCUUUUCAAGUCGCAUGACUCGAAAAGGAAAGAUGGCCUUUGUGCUGUCGUUAAAGGAUGGACCCGUGGCGCAUUAGUUAGUUGGUGAGGUAAAGGCUCACCAAGACGAUGAUGCGUAGCCGGCCUGAGAGGGUAAUCGGCCACACUGGGGCUGAGACACGGCCCAGACUCCUACGGGAGGCAGCAGUAGGGAAUCUUCCGCAAUGGACGAAAGUCUGACGGAGCGACGCCGCGUGAAUGAAGAAGGUCUUCGGAUCGUAAAGUUCUGUUGUUAGAGAAGAACAAUCACUAGAGUAACUGCUAGUGACUUGACGGUAUCUAACCAGAAAGCCACGGCUAACUACGUGCCAGCAGCCGCGGUAAUACGUAGGUGGCAAGCGUUGUCCGGAUUUAUUGGGCGUAAAGGGAGCGCAGGCGGUUCUGUAAGUCUGAUGUGAAAGCCCACGGCUUAACCGUGGAAGGUCAUUGGAAACUACAGAACUUGAGUUCAGGAGAGGUGUAUGGAAUUCCAUGUGUAGUGGUGGAAUACGUAGAUAUAUGGAGGAACACCAGUGGCGAAGGCGAUACACUGGCCUGAAACUGACGCUGAGGCUCGAAAGCAUGGGUAGCAAACAGGAUUAGAUACCCUGGUAGUCCAUGCCGUAAACGAUGAGUGCUAGGUGUUGGGGGGUUUCCGCCCCUCAGUGCCGGAGUUAACGCAUUAAGCACUCCGCCUGGGGAGUACGGCCGCAAGGCUGAAACUCAAAGGAAUUGACGGGGACCCGCACAAGCGGUGGAGCAUGUGGUUUAAUUCGAAGCAACGCGAAGAACCUUACCAAGUCUUGACAUCCCGCGCUAACCCUAGAGAUAGGGCGUUCCCUUCGGGGACGCGGUGACAGGUGGUGCAUGGUUGUCGUCAGCUCGUGUCGUGAGAUGUUGGGUUAAGUCCCGUAACGAGCGCAACCCUUGUCAUUAGUUGCCAGCAUUUAGUUGGGCACUUUAAUGAUACUGCCGGUGACAAACCGGAGGAAGGUGGGGAUGACGUCAAAUCAGCAUGCCCCUUAUGACUUGGGCUACACACGUGCUACAAUGGAUGGUACAACGAGUCGCUACCUCGCAAGAGCAAGCUAAUCUCUUAAAGCCAUUCUCAGUUCGGAUUGUUCUCUGCAACUCGAGAACAUGAAGCCGGAAUCGCUAGUAAUCGCGGAUCAGCACGCCGCGGUGAAUACGUUCCCGGGUCUUGUACACACCGCCCGUCACACCACGAGAGUUUGUAACACCCGAAACCGGUGGCCUAACCCUUUUAGGGAGGGAGCCGUCUAAGGUGGGAUAGAUG